rnacentral:rRNA from 1 species
UACGGAGGGUGCAAGCGUUGCUCGGAAUUAUUGGGCGUAAAGGGUGCGUAGGCGGCGCGGUAAGUCGGGUGUGAAAUCUCGGAGCUUAACUCCGAAACUGCAUUCGAUACUGCCGUGCUUUGAGGACUGGAGAGGAGACUGGAAUUUACGGUGUAGCGGUGAAAUGCGUAGAUAUCGUAAGGAAGACCAGUGGCGAAGGCGGGUCUCUGGACAGUUCCUGACGCUGAGGCACGAAGGUCAGGGGAGCAAACGGG